CACACUAAUUUGGAGGCAAUAAUGAAGGGAUGCGACGCAAAGCUCAAAUAUUGGAAGUGGCCAUUUGGGAUUCUUCAUGACUAGUUUGAUUUCUCAUUCUUCAGAAGAUCAUUCAUUCAAGGGAGGCUCUGGCCUUGCCCUUCUUAACUUCAUUAUGUCGAAGAGCUCGCAGAAUGUAGUGAUGCUCUCCUCAAGUUCGCCCUCGUUCAAGUAAAAUACAAACAAACAGACAGGGACUUUAAUGCAUCACAUUUCCAGAAAGAGUCCACUAUUCAUUUGCUGCUUCCCUUCAUUUGUAUUCUCAUUGACCAUCUUCUGAUCUUCCAUGGAAACUAAGUCUGAAUCUGGAGCUGCAGAAGCUUUACCUUCUUCAUUGGAUUUGUUGGAAGAAUUCUGUUUGCAGCUUGAAUUGGCAGUUGUACCUUUGGAAGGUUUGUUCUUCACUGGAAACAACACGCUCAUGAUGUCUGCUCUGCAAUGAGCAACUCUCAUGUCUACAAAAAUGGCAGCUGGAAUUGCAAUGUUGGGACAAUUCUCUCUCCAGCUCACUAUAACAAGAGGAUCCCCAAUCUUCACGAGCGCUUGUGCAAGUACAUUUGCAUUUACAUGCAUCCGAGAAUUAUGAUACCUCCUCCUAAGAACAUCUGAGAAUUCCCUUGGCAAACAAUUAGUGAUAUAACCCUUCUUCAGCAUCUCAUAAAGUAUAUUGAAAUAUCUACCACUAUUCACAGCCAGCAAGCAUAAGGUGAUAACCAGUUUCAGCACCAUCAACGGGUAGUACACAUCAAAAUUGAUCCCUGAUUUACGAAUCCAUUCUGCUGUAUCUUGCUUAUUAUACAGGAUCUCCUUGAUUAUGCCAGCCAAAAAUUCAAAAACGCCACUAAGAAUCUGAAUAUCAGGUACUGCAUUGGGCGUUUGGUUGGCAUUGGGUUGCUCACAAAUAAGCCACUCAACAAGUGAAGAUUUUGUGAUGAAAAGGAGUCCAGUAGACCGAAAUGUCAAAACCAAAAGCCGAUCAACCAGAUACAAAAAACAACUGGGUGACACAUAAUCUGAUUGUCUCCAGUUAGGACGAUAGGUAUCAUCCAGAGCUUCAUAAAAGUUGAGCACAGAAGCUACCUCUGUUGGAUUCUGAAGGAAAUGGUCUUUUGCAGGUUCUUCUGAAAUUUUUGAUGCUGUAAAUCCACUCAAGUCCCUAAUGUAUUUUAUCCAUUUACAUGGUAAAUUCCCUUCAACCUUUUCUGCUAUCUUCUUGCAUAGUUCAUCAGUUGGCUUCCCAGAACCAAGCCAUAUCAUUACUAUCGUCCCAAUUUGGCCAUAGGUCAGCUCGCCCUUAGAGGGGAUGUUUUUGAUAAUAACCUCUUCUAGUAAAUUUCGCGAAAGCUCAGUCCCUCUCAGAGAAGUCAUAUUCUUGGUCAACAACUUUUGCCACUCUAAAGAAAACACAUUGUGGAAGUACCCCAUAGAUAGCUCAAGAGAUGUGUUCAGUGAUAGAGUAUCAUGAUACUUACGGUCAAGAUACUUGGACCCUAAAAGAAACUUUGUUACCUCAAAGAUAUAGAGGAGGAGAAGGCUUUGGCCAUAAACAGAGUUAUUCUUGAUUGCGAGAUUGUGAAGUAAUUCAAGAGUUUCCAACACCUUCAUGCCAACAGCAAGCAACUCUGAGCUCCAAUGACUUUGAGCAGCCGAAACAAACUGGCGAGCAUCUGCUGACACCAACUUCCCACUUCUCUGAAGACACCUGUCAUCAAUCUCUCUCACCCAGUGAGCGUCAGGGAUGAGAAAAAGAUGACUAUCCAGUAUUUUUCGUAUGGACAAGAAUUCACCUCUGAGGCUCUUAUUACGCCUAGAAGCAUCCAAAUACUGGUUAAACUGGAGCAACCCCGUUUCUUCGGUUGAUAAAAUGUUCACUUCAGUGCAAA